GACGAACGCUGGCGGCGUGCUUAACACAUGCAAGUCGAACGGAAAGGCCCUGCUUUUGUGGGGUGCUCGAGUGGCGAACGGGUGAGUAACACGUGAGUAACCUGCCCUUGACUUUGGGAUAACUUCAGGAAACUGGGGCUAAUACCGGAUAGGAGCUCCUGCUGCAUGGUGGGGGUUGGAAAGUUUCGGCGGUUGGGGCUGGACUCGCGGCUUAUCAGCUUGUUGGUGGGGUAGUGGCUUACCAAGGCUUUGACGGGUAGCCGGCCUGAGAGGGUGACCGGCCACAGUGGGACUGAGAUACGGCCCAGACUCCUACGGGAGGCAGCAGUGGGGAAUAUUGCAAAAGGGGCGGAAGCCUGAUGCAGCAACGCCGCGUGCGGGAUGACGGCCUUCGGGUUGUAAACCGCUUGCGCCUGUGACGAAGCGUGAGUGACGGUAAUGGGUAAAGAAGCACCGGCUAACUACGUG
rnacentral:rRNA from 1 species